ACGAGUGGCGGACGGGUGAGUAAUGCUUGGGAACUUGCCUUUGCGAGGGGGAUAACAGUUGGAAACGACUGCUAAUACCGCAUAACGUCUACGGACCAAACGGGGCUUAGGCUCCGGCGCAGAGAGAGGCCCAAGUGAGAUUAGCUAGUUGGUGAGGUAAAGGCUCACCAAGGCGACGAUCUCUAGCUGUUCUGAGAGGAAGAUCAGCCACACUGGGACUGAGACACGGCCCAGACUCCUACGGGAGGCAGCAGUGGGGAAUAUUGCACAAUGGGGGAAACCCUGAUGCAGCCAUGCCGCGUGUGUGAAGAAGGCCUUCGGGUUGUAAAGCACUUUCAGUUGUGAGGAAAAGUGAGUAGUUAAUACCUGCUCACCGUGACGUUAGCAACAGAAGAAGCACCGGCUAACUCCGUGCCAGCAGCCGCGGUAAUACGGAGGGUGC
rnacentral:rRNA from 1 species